rnacentral:lncRNA from 1 species
ACAGUGUGCGAUGAAGGUGGACUUAACUUUUAAAGGCAAAGAGACAAACCACUGCCAGGAUAAAUGAGAAGACGCAGAGGGGGCAACUGGCACCACACAGGAGAGGAAAUGCUUUCUGGCUGGUUCCUAAUUUUCAUAUCCGGGUUAUCGUCAGAAAUCAUUUUCAGAGGAAGCUGAAAAAUGAUGGACAAGGAAAGUCGAGAAAGAGGAAGACAUUAACUGAGCGUCCUGUCCACACAGCUGCCAGGAAGGGUUUCAUCAUCAUCCUGGCACACAGGAGUAAGUUCCCAAGUCCUAUCAGGAGCCAUGUGAGUGGAUAUCUUCAAAGAGCACAUUGGAUACAACCUGGUAUCUCAGUGUCAGGACUAUAAAAGUAUGACAAUUUUUUCAAAGCAAUGAUUUGUAAUUACUAGAAUAUUGUCUUACAGUGACACAUGUAAGCAUGCUUUAAAAUGCAUACAAGUUUCAAUAAAGACCAAAGCUUUGCUAACACAAUAGAAGAAGAAGUCUUACAGUCUGCCUCCACUGCCUUUUGUGUGUACCAUGAGCAAGUCUUUCCCUUUUUGGAAAAUAUGCUCAACAUAACUACAUUUGCAUCAUUUAAGAAUGUAUACACUAAAUGUAUAUAAUGAUUAUUUUUAGUGGAAAAUAUAUAAUUAAUUCUGUUUCCUUACAUUUAUUUAUAAAGGUAAAGGCAUAAUUUUCAAGAUAGAGACUUUUGAAUACCGAAUAUAACUUACAUUAGAAAAUGACAGAAUCAGGUUUUAUUAUUCUUUCCAUAGACUUCUAUAUAGUUAAAAAGACAUUUGUCUUCGUUUGGAUACUUGGUUUUCUUUUUUGACACCGUCUCAUGCAGACCAGGCUGCAUUCUAGCAUACAAGACAGCCAAGAAUGACUUUAAAAUUCUGAUCUAUCUACUCUUCCACCUCCAGUGCCCCCUCUCACCCAAUUUAUGCAGUGCUGAGGACAAAAUCCAGGGUUUGUGUAUGUCAGGAAGUUACUCUGUCAACUCAGCUACAGACACAAUUUAUUUGUUUGUUUGUUUGUUUAUUAAUUUAUUUAAAUUUACAUCCCAAUGACAGCCCCCCUUUCUUCCCAGUUCCAUCCUUACAAAUCCCUCCCACCAUCACCCAUCCCAUUCUCAGAAAAGAAGAGCCCUCCUUGGUACCACCCCUCUCUGGGGCAUCUAGGCCCAGCAUGACUAGGCAUAUCAUCUUCCACUGAGGCUAAACUGAGCAGUCCAGGUAGGGGAAGAGAAUCGAAUGGCAGGGAACAGAGACUGAGACAGCCCCCAUAAAUUUGAUUUAAAAUAUCAAAUUAAAUGGCAGACUAUAGGGACUCCUAUCUUAUAUCUGAAUUUUCCUUACAAGUCAUGUUCUAUUUUGAGAAAGCAUGUGUCAAUCUAGAGGGAAAUUUUCAGAAUACUGGCAAUCAACAGUAACAAGAUUCUGAGUAAACAUUUUACUAAUUAUUCUUCAAUAGUUCUCUGACAUGAAAGUUAAUAUGUCUUCCUGAAUUAUUAUAUAUUAAAUCAGUCAAGGGUUUUUUUUUACUAUGCCUAAGCAAAUUAAAAUGAGCAAUCAUUACACUUGGAGUCAUAAAAUGAAACUAGUAUCUAGUUAAUACACAACAUUGCAUAAAAUCUUUCUCAUACACACACAAGUACAUACCCACACACAUGUGGAAACUAAUACUUUGAUGUCUUCUGAGAAAUGUCUUUUUCAACACGUUGUAUUUUUUUUUUUUGAGAAUUUCAUACAAUUUAGUUUGGUCAUAUUCAUCUUCUCUAUGAACUACUCCCCAGUCCAUUACCCUUCACACUGUCCUAAUAAUGUGUC